rnacentral:rRNA from 1 species
AGAGGCCUCGAGCGUUAGUCGGAGUCACUGGGCUUAAAGCGUACGUAGGCGGACGUGCAGGCGUCUUGUGAAAUCCCCCGGCUCAACCGGGGAACUGCGAGGCGAACCGCAUGUCUUGAGGUCAGUAGGGGCUGUCGGAACGAUAGGUGGAGCGAUGAAAUGCGUUGAUAUCUAUCGGAACGCCGAAGGUGAAACCAGGCAGCUGGGCUGAUUCUGACGCUGAGGUACGAAAGCGUGGGGAGCAAACGGGAUUAGAUACCCCGGUAGUCCACGCCGUAAACGAUGCGCACUAGAUCGAGGGGGUUCUGACACCGUCCUUGGUCGAAGCAAAAGUGUUAAGUGCGCCGCCUGGGGAGUACGGUCGCAAGGCUA